GAAGGCCCUUCGAGAUCGGAUUUCAGGAUCAGGUCUCAAACCACCUUAGUCGGCUGUCAUUAAGAGUGAUGGUGCUGAGCGCAAAAGGAAAAGCUGGAAAUAAAUUCAGCAGGUGUGG
rnacentral:ncRNA from 1 species